GCCAUCUUUUCUUCCUCUCUCCCUUUGCUUGGCACCAAGUGGUUGCAGAUCGGCUCGGCGCGGCGCGGGAGCAGCGCUAGCGCGGGCGGCCGGCCGCAGCAGGCGCACGCGCGGGCGCAGCGCGCGAGCUGGCGGCGCGCGGCUCGGCCGGCGCAGGCUGGCGGCGCGGCUAGCGGCAGCAGCUCAGGCGCCGAGCGGGCGACGGCCGGAGCGGAGGCGUGUGGCUCGGGAGGUGCGCGUGAGGGGAGCUGGGCCAGCUCGGCGUGGGCGGCUGGCGGCAGCGGCUGUGCGAGCGGCGCUGCGCGGGCAAGCAGCUCGGGUGGCGCGUGAGCAGGCGGUGCGGGCGGUGCAGAUGCGCGCUGGCGCAGGCAGCAAGCGACGCAGGUGGUGGCGGGAGCGCGGCAGGCGAGGGACCGGGCCGUGCGGCGCGCGUUCGGGGAUGCGCUGUGGCCUCCUGCGUUGCUCCGUUCCAUCCAGGAUUCCAUGCCUCCAGCGCUCCCCUGCUCAUCUGCUACUUCUAGGCUGCAGCUGCUGUCCAGCCAAAUCCCAAGCGCAAUCACACUUCGCCAGCUUGCCUGAUCCGGCCCGGUCCGAUCCGGUUGAUUUAGGUACAAUUGAAAGCGAAGUCAUAUGUGAGAGAGGUGCUUCGUGGCGACCAGUGAUCAAGCGUCGGUGCUGUAGCCUCUGAGGACCCUUUGGCCUCUGCUCAAGUGGACAUUACUGUCGACCCUGCGUCAACACCUGGUGAAACCGAAGGGGGCCACGAAGAUGGUGAAGAGGCGAAGACUGGAAAGGACCCUGCGGUGGAACCUGCGUGGGUCACCGAAGGUAUUUUGCCUAUUACUAUGAAACGAGAUGACUUCUACAUGACCGGAGAAACUUGGGCAAAGUUCCAUUCCGCGCAUCCCGUGAUCACUUUUGAUGAGUUUUUGACUAUUAUGCUUCGUAGCUAUGAAAAAUGCAGCACUACUGCGAAGGUCUUUCUUACUGAGUUCAAACGUGACCCUGCUAGACGCCCAUGGAUCCUUGUUGAUCAUGCUCUCCGUCGUGAAAUCCGAAAGUCAAGAAUAGCUCCUUUGCCAUAUACGUUGCCCGAGGGCCUAAAAGAACCGAAACCAGAACCUGUGGAGACCGAAGCCGAGCCUUUGGAAUUUAUGUAUCAUGUUCCACAGUGAUGAAGAGGAGAAGCCCUUACAUCUCCUAACCUUGCAUUAUCUUCGG